AGUGAACGCUGGCGGUAGGCCUAACACAUGCAAGUCGAACGGCAGCACAGGAGAGCUUGCUCUCUGGGUGGCGAGUGGCGGACGGGUGAGGAAUACAUCGGAAUCUACUCUGUCGUGGGGGAUAACGUAGGGAAACUUACGCUAAUACCGCAUACGACCUACGGGUGAAAGCAGGGGAGCUUCGGACCUCGCGCGAUUGAAUGAGCCGAUGUCGGAUUAGCUAGUUGGCGGGGUAAAGGCCCACCAAGGCGACGAUCCGUAGCUGGUCUGAGAGGAUGAUCAGCCACACUGGAACUGAGACACGGUCCAGACUCCUACGGGAGGCAGCAGUGGGGAAUAUUGGACAAUGGGCGCAAGCCUGAUCCAGCCAUACCGCGUGGGUGAAGAAGGCCUUCGGGUUGUAAAGCCCUUUUGUUGGGAAAGAAAUCCAGCUGGCUAAUACCCGGUUGGGAUGACGGUACCCAAAGAAUAAGCACCGGCUAACUUCGUGCCAGCAGCCGCGGUAA
rnacentral:rRNA from 1 species